AGAGUUGAUUCUGGCUCAGGAUGAACGCUAGCGGCAGGCUUAAUACAUGCAAGUCGUGGGGCAGCGCAGUGUAGCAAUACAUGGGCGGCGACCGGCAAACGGGUGCGGAACACGUACACAACCUUCCUUCAAGUGGGGAAUAGCCCAAGAAAUUUGGAUUAAUACCCCGUAAUAUUAUGAAGUGGCAUCACUUUAUACUUAUAGCUCCGGCGCUUGAUGAUGGGUGUGCGGCUGAUUAGGUAGUUGGCGGGGUAACGGCCCACCAAGCCUACGAUCAGUAACUGGUGUGAGAGCACGACCAGUCACACGGGCACUGAGACACGGGCCCGACUCCUACGGGAGGCAGCAGUAAGGAAUAUUGGGCAAUGGAGGCAACUCUGACCCAGCCAUGCCGCGUGGAGGAUGAAGGUCCUCUGGAUUGUAAACUUCUUUUAUAUGGGACGAAAAAGGGCCUUUCUAGGUCAACUGACGGUACCAUAUGAAUAAGCACCGGCUAACUCCGUGCCAGCAGCCGCGGUAAUUCA
rnacentral:rRNA from 1 species